rnacentral:rRNA from 1 species
GACGAACGCUGGCGGCGUGCUUAACACAUGCAAGUCGAACGGAAAGGCCCUGCUUUUGUGGGGUGCUCGAGUGGCGAACGGGUGAGUAACACGUGAGUAGCCUGCCCUUGACUUUGGGAUAACUUCAGGAAACUGGGGCUAAUACCGGAUAGGAGCUCCUGCUGCAUGGUGGGGGUUGGAAAGUUUCGGCGGUUGGGGAUGGACUCGCGGCUUAUCAGCUUGUUGGUGGGGUAGUGGCUUACCAAGGCUUUGACGGGUAGCCGGCCUGAGAGGGUGACCGGCCACAUUGGGACUGAGAUACGGCCCAGACUCCUACGGGAGGCAGCAGUGGGGAAUAUUGCACAAUGGGCGGAAGCCUGAUGCAGCAACGCCGCGUGCGGGAUGACGGCCUUCGGGUUGUAAACCGCUUUCACCUGUGACGAAGCGUGAGUGACGGUAAUGGGUAAAGAAGCACCGGCUAACUACGUG